GUCAAGUCAGCAUGGCCUUUAUAUCCAGGGCUACACACACGCUACAAUGGUCUGUACAAUGGGUUUGCAAUACCGCGAGGUGGAGCCAAUCCUCAAAGCAGGCCUCAGUUCGGAUUGCAGGCUGCAACUCGCCUGCAUAAAGUCGGAGUUGCUAGUAACCGCGCGUCAGCAAUAGUGCGGUGAAUACGUUCCCGGGGCUU
rnacentral:rRNA from 1 species